rnacentral:rRNA from 1 species
GCCAGAGGCAUAUCACCCUGCAGCUCUCGCCUGGUUUCCCACUGAAGCUAAGGAGGGUUGAACCUGAUCAGUACCUGGAUGGGAGACCUAUUGGGGAAAACUAAGGUUUCUGCUGGAA